GUGAUUCUGAACUCGUUCUGGCCGUUGAUACUGUUCAGCAAUGUUUCAACUCGAUGGAUAGAAAACUUCAAAGUUGCGAGCUUCAAAAUUGCUUGUUCUACGCUACGAAUGGAUAACCUCCGUGACAUUUUACGUGAGGGCGCUAGAGAGAAUGAGAGGGCAGGAGGGGGUAUAAAAAGAGAACGCGAAAGGAUGGUAAUUCUUACGGCCUACGAGCAAUGUUUAGAAGUUGAUUUACAUUCGCGUCUCGAGAGAACACAUCGAUGAGACGUACCGUUCCCUUCGGCUUCGUGCGAGCCCACACAAAAGUCACCCACGAAGUGGGGGCCUUGGGGGAAUUUUUUCUCCCCGUUUAUUUUUAUUCUAUUUCUUCGCUAUCCCACACCACGGUUGCACGGUGCGCCUCCGCAGUUUCCUCGAAACGAGGUGACGCUACGCCUGGAAAAUUAUGCAGACCACUUCACUGGAGAUUCGGGCCACGGGGAUAUUCCAAGAGACCUCGGACGUUCGAAAAUAUAGCGAGGAGAAAACGAGGCGACGAAUCGAAGCAUCGAUGUGACCUUGACUGGAGAGUUUACGUUCCAAAAGACGGGGGCUUCGCGCCCGCCGCGGUGGUACGCGAAAUUACGGUAUAUUCUCGCGCGCACGGUGACGAAACGAGCAAAACAUUUUCGUUGACUGCAGCGCUGCGGGCUGGAAAGUCUCCGCGACUACGAUUGUCGUCGGUAACGAACGAAGAUGGAAAAUAAAAGAAAAAUAAAAAAUAGGACGCACCAAACGACGGAAACGAUUGGCUGAAGUGGCAGGGAGAUUUGAGGAGAGAUUAUUGAGCAGAUUGACGUGGAGCAAUGGGGAAAUGGAAAUCGCAAUCGCCACUGGGCCAGUCCGUUGCAACGAGCCCGAAAAACGUGUCGGCUUCAACCAGCUCUUCAGUCGAAUUCCAAGAGAUUUAGUUCAUUCGACUGAAAUCAUGAAAAUGUGGAAGAAGCGAACAAACCGGAAAGGCGAGAAACGAAAUUUGACAGGACCAUCGACGCUUCAUCCUGCCCCCGUCCACUCCGUAAAAUACUCAAUUUCCAACGAAUUUUCGUGAUAUUUCAGAAACCCUUUUCCUAUCAUCCAUUCGUGGUACGAAUGGUUCGCAGGUUCCGUCAAGCCCGUAAAAACAAAUGAAACACGUGCGAGCGAUGGAAUAUCGCGUUACGGAGCGAGCUGAACGUGAUUUACGCUCGUGUGUACACAAACUUGUAUUACUCGAAAGGUUGGAGCGACCUCUCGGCGUGGAAUCGAACAAAAUACCGUGAGUCACGCGCCGGAGAGUUCGCGUGGAAAGUGUGCCUCGUGCUCCAUAUUUACAUGGGCGAUACGAAAUACGAGAGCUGCGGGUUCUUCAGGCGGCGGCCAGGUACACACGAGGAGACGUAAGCGUGGAUGCAAGCACGCUUGAGGCCGUGAUAAAGGGUGUGGGAUGAGGAUGAGGAGGACGACGCGACGAGAGCAGUGCCUUUGAUUUGUCCCUUUGACCGAGCCGCGACCCGAACACGUGUCCUCCAACUCGGGCGAUAGCCUUAUCGGUGUUUAGUGCACUCACAUUGUUCGGAUGACGCUGAAGUUUCCAACGUUGGAGUUCAACGAAAUGAUAGAAAAAAACUCUCCAAUAAUUCCAGUAAUUCUCCUAUUUUGUUCCCUGCUAAAUUU